UGCUUCAAUUGGAAGCUCACCAUCUCUAUAUAUUCUGCAGUUCUGCACCCCAAACUCAAGCAAAGAGGAGAAAAAAAAGGAAAUUAAGCUGAAAAUGGCAUCAGUUGAUGAAGCUUCUGAUUCAUUUACACCGUUUGAAUUCGACACCACCUCAAAAGUUGCAGCAGAUUCUUCUUCUGUGAAAUCGGUCCCUUCAAAAUUCAACUUCAGCAAUGAUCGCUCUGCUCUCACUUGUGACUCACUCCCCACCAUCGAUUUCUCGGCCCUCGUCGGCGGCAAUCCUCAUCAACGCUCCAAAGCUGUCCACGGCCNGAUUUUGGGGAUUGAGAAUGAUUUAGGGAUUCUAGAUUUUGAGGAUUGUUCUUAUUCAAUUACUUUAAGAAAGUAUGCCAUUUAGAAGAGAAAUUUGAGGAAAAGUUGAAUUUAAUUUGAAUUUAAUCGGAAAAAAAUAUAAGUAACGAAGAAAUUGAUGAAAAUCGCGCAAUUUUGUAUAAAUGUUCUUGAAUUCACAACCAAGUUUAUGAAUUCACAACUGAAUUAUCGGCGUUGGUUGUGAAUUCACAAUUGAAAUAGUGUUGAUUGUGAAUUCACGCGAAUUCACAACCAACGCUUGAAUUCGAGUUGAAUUCACAACCAGUGAACAAUGGGUAUUUGUAAAAUUUUAUAUAUAAGGAUAAAAUGGUAAAUGUGGGUAUUUUUUUUAAUUUUUAUAUUAGUGGGUAGAAUUUAUUUUUACUAUAUAAAAGUGGCUAUUUUCAAAAUCCACUCAUGAUUUUUGGUUUUGUUCAGUUUUUAAUUAAAAAACUAAAUUGAACCGAACCGAAAAACUAUUUUUUACAUUGUACUUCAGUUAGUCAUGGUAGCAUUGAUUUAAUUUGCUAUUUCAGCGGGGGUAGUGCAAAGAUAAUAUGGCCUUAUAUAUGGAAGUUAUUAAAAUAUGUUUUUUAAUAUAAAUAAAAAAAAUAAAAAAAAAAUAGAAACAAAUUAUAUAAUAAAUAAAUAAACUAAAAAAUUUAAUUACUUAAAAAGGAGAAGAGUUAGAAAUGUGCUGGAAGCCUGGGAGUUGAGAAUAUACUGUCAAGAUAGAAGAUAAAAGAAAAUUAACAUUAAAAACCCUCCAAUCUGCUUUAACGUUUAGGGACUUAGAUAAGAGCCGAUCUACUUUAGGGUUUAGAGCAUUAAAUAAGAUUUAAUGCGUGAUGCAUUAAUUAUCCAAAAAAAAUGUAAAUUGUUGUGGAUGAGAAUCAAACAUGCAACCAAUAUCAUUAAAAUGACACUAAUUGUGCCAUCUGCUCUAUAAUAUAUCUUAUAGGGCUCGUUUGGUACGGAUGUUUAGGGUGUAUAAUAUACCUAUGACACCCUAAUAUAUAGUUUGUUUGGUAAAAAAUAAUACAAACACACGGUCUUUUAUAAAUCAAAAGCCCGCAAAUAUUAUAUUGAUUUGAGUGAUUCUGUAUACACCACCUAUGGAGGCGAUUAUCGUAAUACAAAUCAUAAUUAUAACUACUACUAUUAACUUUCAUUAUUUUAGCGCAUUCUAAUAUAACAUAUUGUAAAAGAUACCAAAGUCAAACAUAUCACACCUAAUCCUAUACCACGUACCAAAUGGGCCCAUAGGGUAUAUACAUAAAUAUAUAUAUAUUGACCUGAAUAUUUUUCGGCCCGUGCAGUCGCCCACCUCACACAGGUAAAAAAAACUGGCAUCGUACUUCAAUUAGCUAUGAUAGCAUUAAUUAUGUAAUAUAUAUAUAUAGGGGGCCGCUCCAAUGAGACCCCCUAAUUUUAGUGAGACCUAGGGCACGAUCUGGUGCGUUUAUUUUAUCAAUCCUAUGGCUGAUAUUGUAUCUGGAGGGUGAUUUUUUUUCGCAGAGUUCGAAUCCUGAAGGGAGCAGAAUAUUUUAAAUUUUGUUAUUCAUCAGUAUAUACUGCAUUGUUCAUCAGUAUAUAUGUCUUAUUCAUUACGAAUUUUUUAAAUUUUAUUUUUCAUCAGUAUAUACAUCNCUUUUUUUUUUCCUUUCGCCUAGGGCCCCCAGAAUGUCAGGGCUGGCCUUGUCUGUAACUAAUAUUGGUUGGUUGUUUGCUAUUAUGGUUAAUUAAUCAUGAUUUUUGUUUGGUAUCCAUAUUUCUAGGUUAGAUAAGCUUAAACAUGGACACAAUUGCAGGGCCGUAUUAAUUAUCCUGCAUAAUCUGAGGGGGGAGGCGGUAUUAAUUAUCCUACGUAAUCCGGAAUUUUAGCUCAAGGCCUUCACAUAUCGCAGGGCCGUUCGCAUAAGUGUUAUAGAAUACCAAACUCUUUACUACUCUGUAUUAACUUAACUAAUAUGCUGUAAAAUCCCAAAUCAAACACGCCCUUAUGAAAGACUCUUAAUCUAACCGUGCACUAAAUAUGCACUAGAAUGCGAAAGGUCAAGAGACAAAUUAUUUCAUUUAACAGUAUUCACAGUUCACAGUUUAUAUUAUUAAUUAAUAUGAUCUUUGUGUGUGUGUGUGAAGCUUGUGAAUCAUGGAGUAGCUGAUAGCUUGAUGGAUGCAUUGUUUAGAGCAGUGAAAGAAUUCUUCAGUUUGUCUGAUUCGGAGAAGAAGCAAUACGAAGCCAAGAGUGUUUCCGAUCCCAUCAAAUAUUGUGGCAAUUUCAACGUCACCACUUCAAAUCGGAGCUUCACUUUAUGGAGAGAAAACCUUAAGUUCUACGUGCAUCCCAACUUCUACUGCCCUCACAGACCCCAACUCUUAAGGUCGAAUUCUGAUUUUUCACAUGAAUUAAACACUACAAAAAAAAUAAUAAUAGUAACAAUUUUAGUGGCAUUAAAAGUUGUGUUACAAAAGUUUAUUACAUCUUUUUAGUGUAACAAAGUUUAUAACAUUUAUCCAUGUAACAAAUUUGCGACAUCUAAAACUAUCACAAAAUAUUUUUAUUACACGUAAGUGUCAACAAUAUAUUUUUUGCUCUGUGUGUGUGUGUGUGUGUGAAUGUAUCAUAUACACUCACAAACACAAAUAUUAUUAUAUUUUUUUUAAUUAUUAAUAAAUUUUUUUCAAGUAACUAAUUAAUUAUAAAUUAUAUUGUCAUAAAAAAUAGCUACACUUUCACAUGUUAAAAAAAUAAUUAUACAAAAUACAUGUCACAAAAAUAAUUACACAUUCAAAUGUCACUAAAUUUAGUGAAAUAUGUUUUUACUUUUGUGACAUAAUAGCUACCCAACUACCACAUGCCACAAUUUUAAUUAGUUAGAAUUAUAAUUGUCACUAUUUAUAAAAAAAAUUGUCACUACUAAAGCAGUUUAUUGUAGUUUCAAUAUUCUGAUUUUUCACACGGUUGUUAAUUUUUGACGUCAACAUUCAACUAUUUCGCUUUAAUAACUCAGUACUAAUUUGAAUAUAAUUGACGACCGUGUGAUAAAUCAGAAGAAUUGUAAAUUCAUGUAUUUUGAGGCAUAAUUACCCGAAUAUGAUAUUGUAUAGUAUGUUUUUUAGGGAUGUGGUGUUGGAAUACAUCAGAAAAGUAGCCACGAAGCUAAUUGAGGAUGUAUGCGAAGCUUUAGAGUUGAAUCAACAUUACGUGGAUGAAAUAUUGAAGAUGGAUUCGAGUUUACAAUUAUUUGCAGCAAAUUACUAUCCACGGUGCCCUCAGCCAGAUCAAGCCAUCGGCCUUCCGCCGCAUACAGAUCCAGGUUUGUUGACGUUUCUCAUACACAACGGCGUUGGCGGUCUGCAAAUUGAGCAUGAUGGCAAGUGGUUCCACACCGAUUCCCCUCAUAAUUCUAUUUUGAUAAAUGCAGCUGACCAACUUGAGGUAUAUAUAUAUCACUCUAUUAUUUAUGGAAAGUAGUUUGUUAAACUUAAUUAGGUAGUUGCAUAUAAAUAUACGAACUUGCAUCCAAUUCUGAUUUUACAUAUAUAUGAACUUUCUUCAAAUACACAAACUUUGAAUUGGUCUGAUUUUUUGUGUUGUUGUCAAUUGCUCUCAACUUGAUGCUCAGGUGGUGGACUUCAUAAAUAUAUACUCCCUUCGUCCCACGAAUCUUGACACGCACGUUUGGUUUCGGCACGAGAAUUAAGGAGUUGUAGAUUAGUGUUUUAAGUGUGUAGUUAAUAAAGUAUUAUAAAAGCGAUAAAGUAGGAAAGAGAAUAUAAUAAAAGUAAUAAAGUAGGAGAGAGAAUGUAAUAAUUAUUACCUUUUUUGAAAAUGUGUCAAGAUUCGUGUGACGGUCCAAAAAGGAAUACGUGUCAAGAUUCGUGGGACGGAUGAAGUAUAUCUCAUUGGCUUAAAUUAGGGGUGUGCAUUCAGUUUCGGUUCAAUUUUUGCUAAAAUAAAAUCAAACUAGAUUUAUAUUAGGUUUUUUUAAAAAAAAAUCAAAUCUAACCGAAUUCAUCGAAAUAUUUAGAAUUAAGUCCAAAAAAUAAAACCUGAAAAAAUUGAAAAAAAAUUGUAAAUUGUAAAUUGAAAAAAAUACUCCCUCCGUCCACGAAAUGAGUACUUAUUUGUGGACGACACGGGUUUUAAGAAAUGUAUGGAGUGUAGUGUGAAUAGUUUAAGGGUCCCACUUUUUUAGUGUAUUAAUUAAAGAGAUGUGUGGGGUACACUUGCCAAAAAGGGAAAUGAGUACUCAUUUCGUGGACGGACGAAAAAGGAAAUAUGGGUACUCAUUUCGUGGACGGAGGGAGUAUAUAUAUUGACCUGAAUAUUUUUCGGCCCGUGCAGUCGCCCACCUCAUGCAGGUAAAAAAAAUCGGCAUUGUACUUCAAUUAGCUAUGAUAGCAUUAAUUAUGUAAUAUAUAUAUAAGAAGAGGUUCUAAUAAAAACUUCUGUUAAAAUGAGAACUAGGAACCUAAUCUUGACCUUUUAAAUAUUAGAUCUAAUGGUUAGGAUUUAGUCAACAAAAAAAAGUGCGCAUCUAUUAUAUUUUACCGUGCACUUAAAAAAUAUGCAAUUUAUGCAAUUGAAACCAACAAUGCAAAAUACUCAAGCAAAUCGAAAUUGUGCAUCUAUGCAAUUGAAACUGUGCAUCUAUGCAAUCGAAAUUGUGCAGUUUAAUCUCAGGCCUCUAUUUUAUUUAAAUCAAUGGCUUUAAAUUGGUUCAUAGUUUUCAUCUUAAGAGGGGUUUCUAUGUUAACCCUACCCUAUAUGUGUAUAUAUAUAUAUAUUAAUUAACUGAGUUGUGUUCUUUAUUUGUUUGUAUAAUUGAAUAGAUUUUCACAAACGGGAGGUUUAAGAGUGUGAAGCAUAGAGCGGUGGUGAACGAGGAGAGAGAGAGGAUCUCGAUAGUGGUGGCGAAUGGUCCAUCGGGGGAGGCGGUGAUGGGGCCAGCAGCGGCCCUGGUGGAGAAGGAUGGCAGCGCGAAGUAUAAUGCAAUGAAGUAUGAAGAGUACUUGGAGUCGCAAUUCACCAACACUCAUGUCGACGGGAAAUCCUUCUUGGAACAACAGAUGAUAUAUAUUCAGCGCUAAAUUAACUUAGUCCAUUUAGGAAAUUAAAUUAUGUCGACAAAUAAGUAGAGUUUAAAUUUCUUUUAGCCAAUGUAUUGUGACAGUUUGCAAAAUUAGGCCAAUGUACAUUAAAUCAUGUCUCGAGUAUUAAACUAUUAAUAUAAUCUUUAAUUAACUAUAAAAUAUUGUGAUUCAUGAAACACAAUUGCGGGAAAUUAAUACUAUGAGAAUUUCCGUCGCAAUGGCUAACGGGCCGUCGCGAAAUGCAGUCGUUUCCCCUGCCCGGCCGGCGGCUUGUGGAAGCAGAAGGCGGCGCGGCGGCUUAUGUUGCCUUGAAAUAAAAGGAUUAUCUUUUGGAACAACAGAGAAGUCAGCUUGAUGGGAAAACUAUGUUGAAACGAGAUCUAAUCCAUCACUCACUAGUAAACUAUAAUAACAAAUAAAUCAAGAUUGUGAGGAAUCAUUUGUACAAGAGUGUGCCCUUAUUUCUAUUUUGAGACGUCCCAUAAGAUGAGACCUUUACUCCACUCACAACACAUUUUAUUACUUUAUUAAAUUCUGUGUCAUUUAGAGAAGAAUACUUUUUACAAGGACGGAUGGAGUAUUAUUAUUAUUAUUAUUAUUUGGACAAAAAAAAGGUUAAAAACUUUUAAAAAUCAAUUUACUUUAAAAACUUGGUUCAAAUUUAAAAAUGAUUUAGUUAGUUUUAUUGUUUCUCUAUAUUGUAGUUUUUUUUAAAAAAAAUUAACAAAUUUUUAUUUUUUAUUAUUUUUUUGUAGUUUCUAUACUUUCAAAACUAUAAAAAUUAAAAAGGUUAUUAAAAAAUUACAAAACAAAUUACCUCAUAGAGAAAACAAUUAAACUAACUAAAUUCUUUUUUAUUUUGAACCAAAAAUUUUAACUAUGUUUUGUUUGGACAUAUUUUAUCCAAAUAACAUUAUUGUUAUUAUUAUUAUUGGGGAAUAUAUGGAAAGGAUAUUUUGGAUUUUUACCGGACUAUUCAUUUUUACAACACAAAUUCUCACAGUGCAGAUCACUCACACACUCUAAUAAGAUACCUAUAAAUGACAAGAUUUCCACCACAAGUUUUGCCAUAAUUCGAUAUUUGAAGAUUCCAUUAUAUUAGUGAUCUAGAAUUAAAGUUGGUCAAUUGGUUCAACUAACUAUGAUUGUAAGAGUUGAAAAUCUUAUUCUUCUAUUUGAAAAAUUGUAGCUUUAUAAAUCUUUUUAGUACUAAUAUAAGUCUUUAUGGGUCUAACAGAAAGUUGACAAAUUAAAGUGCACACGAUCGACUUUCUGUAUAACAGCAGCAGUAAAAAUAAGAAUACAAUACAUAAAAUUCUUCCCAAGUAAUUUCUAUAUAAAUGUGCCUUAUGGUAAAAAAAAAUUCACUAUAUAAUAUGUAAAUAAUAUAAAAACUUGGCUGAGAAAAAAAAUAACAAAUUCCUCACAAUUCUUUCAAACAGACUCACUACUAUAUGCAUAAAAGUUGUGCAGAAAAUUUUCCUUACUCACUCACCUACAAAGUAUGAGAUAUAAAUUUUUUUUCUCUCUAUAAACUUCUGUAUUUUUUAGAAAUUAAUCUUUAACUAUGAGUUAUCUGCUCUUUCAACAAAAUAGAUGGAAUAAUUAAUGUGCGCGAUUCGCUUCAAAUAUAUAUAUAUAGGGAAGGGAUCAAUGAAGAAUGCUAAAUGUAGAAGGAAACAACGAAGGCUGAAUAACUCAAUACAUUAAUUUACUUAAUAAAUCACGCGAGCGCAUGAACGAAAAAUGUACGUGUUUAUUCAGUAAAAUAACUAUUCAUGCGGUCGCGUGAUUUAUUCGGUAAAGUUAUAGACUUAUUCAGAACAAAAUAUAGUUACUUCUUCAUAGAUCCCAACCCUAUAUAUAUAUAUAUAUAUAUAUAUAUAUAUAUAUAUAUAUUUUAUUUUAAUAAAAUUAAUAUGAUUAUAUGAUUAAAUUAAUUUAUUUAAAUAAUAUAAUUUAAUUUUGAAAUUAAUAUAAUUAUAUGAAUAGAUUAAUUUAUUUGAAUGAUAACAUAGAAUUUUAAAAUUAAUAUAAUUAUGCUAACAAAAAUUAAAAUUCAAACGUACAUUUUAUUGAAAAUUAAUUGCUUACAACACACAACUAAAAUUUAUUUGUUUGAUUGAAAAGAGUUGGAAAAUGGAAGGGAAACAAAUAGGAAAAGGAUGGAGAAAAUGAAAAAAAAAAAAAAGAGAAAGAAAACGGACGAAAUGGAGAGAAAGAGGUGGGCCAGGCCGUGUGCGGCAAUUCCAGGCGCACAGCGGGCGCGUGCAAUGCACGCGCUCCAGCUGUGCGCGAAUUGGGCGACUCCUCCACAAACGCGCGUGUUUUCUUUUGCCUUGGGGGCCCACGCCUGAACUGCUACCAAGGUAACAAAUUUGCUAUCUUCUCCNUAUAUAUAUAUUAAUUAAUUAAUAGUAGUAGUAUAUAUAUAUAUAUAUAUAUAUAUAUAUAUAUAUAUAUAUAUAUUAAUUAACUGAGUUGUGUUCUUUAUUUGUUUGUAUAACUGAAUAGAUUUUCACAAACUAGAGGUUUAAGAGUGUGAAGCAUAGAGCGGUGGUGAACGAGGAGAGAGAGAGGAUCUCGAUAGUGGUGGCGAAUGGUCCAUCGGGGGAGGCGGUGAUGGGGCCGGCAGCGGCCCUAGUGGAGAAGGAUGGCAGCGCAAAGUAUAAUGCAAUGAAGUAUGAACAGUACGUGGAGUCGCAAUUCACCAACACUCAUGUAUUGUGACAGUUUGCAAAAUUAGGCCAAUGUACAUUAAAUCAUGUCUCGAGUAUUAAACUAUUAAUAUAAUCUUAAAUUAACUAUAAAAUAUUGUGAUUCAUGAAACACAAUUGCGGGAAAUUAAUACUAUGAGAAUUUCCGUCUCAUAAAAGUGUGCCCUUAUUUCUAUUUUGGGACGUCCCAUAAGAUGAGAUCCUUACUCCACUCACAACACAUUCUACUACUUUAUUAAAAUCUGUGUCAUUUAGAGAAGAAUACUUUUUACAAGGACGGAUGGAGUAUUAUUAUUAUUAUCAUUUGGACAAAAAAAGGUUAAAAACUUUUAAAAAUCAAUUUACUUUAAAAAAUUGGUUCAAAUUUAAAAAUGAUUUAGUUAGUUUUAUUGUUUUCUCUAUAUUGUAGUUUUUUUUUUAAAAAAGUAACAAUUUUUUUUAUUAUUAUUUUUUUGUAGUUUCUAUACUUUAGAAACUAUAAAAAUUAAAAAGAUUAUUAAAAAAUUACAAAAAAAAUUACCUCAUAGAGAAAACAAUUAAACUAACUAAAUUCUUUUUUAUUUUGAACCAAAAAUUUUAACUAUGUUUUGUCUGGACAUAUUUUAUCCAAAUAGAUAUUUUGGAUUUUUACCGGACUAUUCAUUUUUACAACACAAAUUCUCAUGGUGGAGAUCACUCACACACUCUAAUAAAAUACCUAUAAAUGACAAGAUUUCCACCACAAGUUUUGCCAUAAUUCGAUAUUUGAAGUUUCCAAUUUCCAUUAAUUGGUGAUCUAGAAUUAAAGUUGGUCAAUUGGUUCAACUAAAUUAUGUUUGUAAGAGUUGAAAAUCUUAUUCUUCUAUUUGAAAAAUUGUAGCUCUAUAAAUCUUUUUAGUACUAAUAUAAGUCUUUAUGGGUCUAACAGAAAGUUGACAAAUUAAAGUGCUCACGACUUUCUGUAUAACAGCAGCAGCAAAAAUAAGAAUACAAUACAUAAAAUUCUUCCCAAGCAAUUUCUAUAUAAAUGUGCCUUAUUUUAAAAAAAAUCACUAUAUAAUAUGUAAAUAAUAUAAAAACUCGGCAGAGAAAAAAAAAAUAACAAAUUCCUCACAAUUCUUUCAAACAGACUCACUAUAUGCAUAAAAGUUGUGCAGAAAAUUUUCCUUAAUUACUCACCUACAAAGUAUGAGAUAUAAUUUUUUUUUCUCUCUAUAAACUUCUGUAUUUUUUAGAAAUACUUAACUAUGAGUUAUCUGCUCUUUCAACAAAAUAGAUGGAAUAAUUAAUGUGCGCGAUUCGCUUCAAAUAUAUAUAUAUUUUGUACGUUUAUUGCCACUAUUAUUGCCCUAUAGUGAUAGAAUGGUUAAUGCCGUUGCGUAGUGAGCUCGAAAAUUUAUGUUUAUCUAAUAAAAAAAAAAGAUGAAAUAAUUAAUUAUAACUUGAAGCUCAAAACUAUAAAGACUUAUCUGGUGUGCACCUUCUCCAUUGAGUAAUCAUAAUAUCUCAUUUAUUUAUUGAAACAAUAAAGCUCCAAACCGUACAAAACUUUUCUGACCAUACAAAACCAACAAUAAAUCUAUCAAACUACCAAUGCCAUCUACAUAUAGGCCCUUAUUUCAACCACACAAAACUUAUCUCAAUCUAUCCUAAAUCGUAAACUCUAAACCUUAAUUAGGCAUAAAUUAGAUUUAUAUCACAUAACUAAAUAUGAUUUGACAUAUUAUUAUUAUUAUUAUUAUUAUUAUUAUUAUCAUUAUACCCGAAUUUUCCAAUUGACACUUUUGAGAAAUUCAUGAAUUUCUCAAAAAGUGCAAAGAAAAGAGUUAGAGAGGGGCCUAUAAAAUCUGAAAGCAUGUAUACAUGUAUUAGAUGUCACUCUCUAAUUUUAGAAUUGUAUGUGAUUGUUGGUUAGACAACAAAGUUCAUCUAGAAACUUUUUUUUCCCUUCUGUAUUAAUUAUCAGUUUUGACUUUAUGGACAUAUACAUAAAUGUUUAGGGUAAUUAAACUUUUGUAGGCUGCUAAAUUGUACAUAAACAGUUGACCUACAUCUAUAUUCAAAAUACUAAUUAUUUUCUUUUAAAAAUAAAUUAUUUCAUUCAUAAUAAAUUAUUAAUUACUACUAAUUAUAAUAUAUAAAUAUCAUAUGUACCUAAUUAAUACUUCUUCUGUGCCACUCUACUAGGCUCACUUCUUUCGAACAUAGAAAUUAAAAAACUUACUUUUUAAAAGGAUAUUUUUUUACUCAAAAUGAAAAAUGGGCCUAUUAGAGUGAGACAGAUGGAGUAUUAAUUUAUAUUUAAUUUUCAAAUUAAAUCAGUUAACGAGCUUGUUCACGAGCUAAUAAGUCGAAUAUUGCCCCAAUUACGUCAUGACACGUGUUACUUCAAUUAUGGGAAGCUCACCACCUCUAUAUAUUCAGCAGUUCUGCACCCCAAACUCAAGAAAAGAAAAGAAAACGGAAAUUAAGCUGAAAAUGGCAUCAGUUGUUGAAGCUUCUGAUUCAUUUACACCGUUUGAAUUCGACACCACCUUAAAAGUUGCAGCAGAUUCUUCUUCUGUGAAAUCGGUCCCUUCAAAAUUCAACUUCAGCAAUGAUCGCUCUGCUCUCACUUGUGACUCACUCCCCACCGUCGAUUUCUCGGCCCUCGUCGGCGGCGAUCCUCAUCAACGCUCCAAAGCUGUCCACGGCCUCGCCACAGCAUGUCGAGAAUGGGGUUUCUUCAUCGUAAGUUCAUUUUCU
rnacentral:lncRNA from 1 species